GACGAACGCUGGCGGCGUGCCUAAUACAUGCAAGUAGGACGCACAGUUUAUACCGUAGCUUGCUACACCAUAGACUGUGAGUUGCGAACGGGUGAGUAACGCGUAGGUAACCUGCCUAUUAGAGGGGGAUAACUAUUGGAAACGAUAGCUAAUACCGCAUAACAGUAUGUAACACAUGUUAGAUGCUUAAAAGAUGCAAUUGCAUCGCUAGUAGAUGGACCUGCGUUGUAUUAGCUAGUAGGUAGGGUAAAGGCCUACCUAGGCAACGAUACAUAGCCGACCUGAGAGGGUGAUCGGCCACACUGGGACUGAGACACGGCCCAGACUCCUACGGGAGGCAGCAGUAGGGAAUCUUCGGCAAUGGGGGGAACCCUGACCGAGCAACGCCGCGUGAGUGAAGAAGGUUUUCGGAUCGUAAAGCUCUGUUGUUAAGGAAGAACGAGUGUGAGAAUGGAAAGUUCA
rnacentral:rRNA from 1 species